UUCCGGUUGAUCCUGCCGGAGGCUGCCGCUAUUGGAGUUCGAUUAAGCCAUGCGAGUCUAGAGGCCUAGCCUCGGCGUACCGCUCAGUAACACGUGGGUAACCUACCCUAUGCUGGGGGAUAAGCUCGGGAAACUGAGAAUAAUACCCCAUAGUCCACUACGCCUGGAACGGUGAGUGGAUCAAAGCUCCGGCGGCAUAGGAUGGGCCUGCGGCGUAUCAGGUUGUAGGGGGUGUAAAGGACCUCCUAGCCAUCGACGCGUACGGGUGUUGGGAGACAUAGCCCGGAGAUGGAUUCUGAGACACGAAUCCAGACCCUACGGGGUGCAGCAGGCGCGAAAACUUCACACUGCAGGAAACUGUGAUGAGGGAACUCCAAGUGCGUGCACUUAGUGUGCGCUUUUGUUGACUAUUAAUCGGUCAAUAUAACAAGGGCUGGGAAAGACCGGUGCCAGCCGCCGCGGUAAUACCGGCAGCUCGAGUGGUCGUCGCUUUUAUUGGGCCUAAAACGUCCGUAGCCUGUUUGGUAAAUCUGUGGGUAAAUCAACCAGCUUAACUGGUUGAAUUCUGCAGAGACUGCCAGACUAGGGACCGGGAGAGGUGUGGGGUACUCUAGGGGUAGGGGUAAAAUCCUGUCAUCCUUAGAGGACCACCAGUUGCGAAGGCGCCACACUGGAACGGAUUCGACGGUCAGGGACGAAGCCUAGGGGCACGAACCGGAUUAGAUACCCGGGUAGUCCUAGGUGUAAACGCUGUGAACUUGGUGUCGGGGAUCCGUCAUGGGUCCCCGGUGCCGGAGUGAAGAUGUUAAGUUCACUGCCUGGGGAGUACGGUCGCAAGGCUGAUACUUAAAGGAAUUGGCGGGGGAGCACUGCAACGGGAGGAGCGUGCGGUUUAAUUGGAUUCAACGCCGGAA
rnacentral:rRNA from 1 species